GAUGAACGCUGGCGGCGUGCCUAAUACAUGCAAGUCGAACGCAUAGCGAAAGGUGCUUGCACCUUUCAAGUGAGUGGCGAACGGGUGAGUAACACGUGGACAACCUGCCUCAAGGCUGGGGAUAACAUUUGGAAACAGAUGCUAAUACCGAAUAAAACUUAGUGUCGCAUGACACAAAGUUAAAAGGCGCUUCGGCGUCACCUAGAGAUGGAUCCGCGGUGCAUUAGUUAGUUGGUGGGGUAAAGGCCUACCAAGACAAUGAUGCAUAGCCGAGUUGAGAGACUGAUCGGCCACAUUGGGACUGAGACACGGCCCAAACUCCUACGGGAGGCUGCAGUAGGGAAUCUUCCACAAUGGGCGAAAGCCUGAUGGAGCAACGCCGCGUGUGUGAUGAAGGCUUUCGGGUCGUAAAGCACUGUUGUAUGGGAAGAACAGCUAGAAUAGGAAAUGAUUUUAGUUUGACGGUACCAUACCAGAAAGGGACAGCUAAAUACGUG
rnacentral:rRNA from 1 species